UUGGAGGGCAAGUCUGGUGCCAGCAGCCGCGGUAAUUCCAGCUCCAAUAGCGUAUAUUAAAGUUGUUGCAGUUAAAAAGCUCGUAGUUGAAUUUCGGGAUCAAUAUAUCGGUCGUGCCUUCGGUAUGUACUGGUAUUAUUGGUUUCUCCUUUCUGACAAACUAUGAUGUCAUUAAUUUGGUGUCAUGGGGAAUCAGGACUGUUACUUUGAAAGAAUUAGAGUGUUUAAAGCAGGCACACGCUUGAAUACAUUAGCAUGGAAUAAUGAAAUAGGACGUUUGACCCUAUUUUGUUGGUUUCUAGGAUCGACGUAAUGAUUAAUAGGGAUAGUUGGGGGCAUUAGUAUUCAAUUGUCAGAGGUGAAAUUCUUGGAUUUAUUGAAGACUAACUACUGCGAAAGCAUUUGCCAAGGAUGUUUUCAUUAAUCAAGAACGAAAGUUAGGGGAUCGAAGACGAUCAGAUACCGUCGUAGUCUUAACCAUAAACUAUGCCGACUAGGGAUCGGAUGAUGUUAAUUUUUUAAUGACUCAUUCGGCGCCUUACGGGAAAC
rnacentral:rRNA from 1 species